rnacentral:tRNA from 1 species
GGGGGUGAAGUGUUACGGUAGCACAGCUGUCUCCAAAACAGCUAGCCGGGGUUCGACUCCCUGCGCCCCCGCCA